rnacentral:rRNA from 1 species
UACGUAGGGUGCAGGCGUAAAUCGGAAUUACUGGGCGUAAAGCGUGCGCAGGCGGUUUCUUAAGUCGGAUGUGAAAGCCCCUGGCUCAACUGGGGAAGUGCACCCGAAACUGAGUAGCUAGAGUGCAAAAGAGGGUCGCGGAAUUCCCGGUGUAGAGGUGAAAUUCGUAGAUAUCGGGAGGAACACCGGUGGCGAAGGCGGCGACCUGGGUUGACACUGACGCUGAGGCGCGAAAGCGUGGGGAGCAAACAGG